rnacentral:rRNA from 1 species
GACGAACGCUGGCGGCGUGCUUAACACAUGCAAGUCGAACGGAAAGGCCCUGCUUUUGUGGGGUGCUCGAGUGGCGAACGGGUGAGUAACACGUGAGUAACCUGCCCUUGACUGUGGGAUAACUUCAGGAAACUGGGGCUAAUACCGGAUAGGAGCUCCUGCUGCAUGGUGGGGGUUGGAAAGCUUCGGCGGUUGGGGAUGGACUCGCGGCUUAUCAGCUUGUUGGGGGGGUAGUGGCUUAACAAGGCUUUGACGGGUAGCCGGCCUGAGAGGGUGACCGGGUAACGUGAGACUGAGAUUCGGCCCCGACUGCUACGGGAUGGAGCGGGGGAGAAGAGUGCAUAAGGGGCGGAAGCCUAACGCAGCAAAGCCGCGCACGGGAUGAGGGACUUCGGGUUGUGAACCGCUUUUGGCUGUGACGAAGCGUGAGUGACGGUAAUGGGUAAAGAAGCUCCGGCUAACUCCGUG